rnacentral:rRNA from 1 species
AAGAAACCAACAGGGAUUGCCUCAGUAACGGCGAGUGAAGCGGCAAAAGCUCAAAUUUGAAAUCUAGCACCUUCGGUGUUCGAGUUGUAAUUUGAAGAUGGUAACCUUGGGUUUGGCUCUUGUCUAUGUUCCUUGGAACAGGACGUCAUAGAGGGUGAGAAUCCCGUCUGAUGAGAUGCCCAUUCCUAUGUAAGGUGCUAUCGAAGAGUCGAGUUGUUUGGGAAUGCAGCUCUAAGUGGGUGGUAAAUUCCAUCUAAAGCUAAAUAUUGGCGAGAGACCGAUAGCGAACAAGUACAGUGAUGGAAAGAUGAAAAGAACUUUGAAAAGAAAGUGAAAAAGUACGUGAAAUUGUUGAAAGGGAAGGGCAUUAGAUCAGACUUGGUGUUUUACGAUUAUCUUCUCUUCUUGAGUUGUGCACUCGUAUUUCACUGGGCCAGCAUCGAUUCGGAUGGUAAGAUAAUGACAGUUGAACGUGGCUCCAUUCGUGGAGUGUUAUAGCUUCUGCUGAUAUUGCCUGUCUGGAUCGAGGGCUGCGUCUUUUGACUAGGAUGCUGGCGUAAUGAUCUAAUGCCGCCCGUCUUGAAACACGGACC